UUAAGUAAUAAGAAGAUAAAAGAGAAAGGAAAAGAAAAGGAGGAGAAAAGAAAGAGAGAAAGGAGAGAAUGUGCGAGAAGAAAUGAAGAGGAAACAGAAAAGUGAAGAUAAAUGAUAAGAUGGUAAAAAACCACAAGAGAGCGAAAUGGAAAGACAAGAUGAAUAUAUGAAAAUCUGUGCUCAGACUGACGUCAGAAAGGAGAAAACUUCAGGAACACUUAAUGAAUUUAUUGUGCUAAUUGGGAAACAGAAACAAACAGUGUAUUAGUAAUGCUACAAUAUGUGUGUGUGUGUGUGUGUGGAUGUAACAUUACUUGUAAAGUUGGUAUUUAAUGAAUAUUCUUCCAGUAAAUAUUAUCAGUAACAUAAUAUCAAUGUUAUAAUUUCCUAUUAUUUCCUGUCAUACUCGAUUUCUCUUAUUUUAUUAUAUAGAAAGAUGUUAAAGUAAUCGAAGAGUAAACAUAGAUGUAUAUUUUAUAAUUAUGAAUUUAAGGAUAAUAAUGCACUUUAUGCACAGAUAAAGAUAUACAAACCCAGUAAACACCAACUAACAAUAACAUAACAUUAAUGUUAUAAUUUCCCAUUCAACAAUGUAAAUGGAAUAUAAUGUAAUGUUUUAUGUAACAGUUACAUUCUUAAGUAGGAAAUUAUAACAUUGAUACUAUGUUAUUGAUAGUUAGUGUUUACUGGAAGAAUAUUCAAUACCAAUUUUAAAAGUAACGUUACA